rnacentral:lncRNA from 1 species
UGAAAUCUGUAUUAAUUUUGUAUUUGUUCGGAGCAGAAAUAACAACACGAUUAGAUAUAUAGAGUAAUUAAACGUGCCCAAGUAAUAAAGGUUUAAUUACUUUAUAGGGGAAAAUUAAAAGAAGAAAAAAAGGAGUUACAGAAACAUGCCAAAGGAUUGAAAUUGCCCUGCUACCAAGCAAGAAGCCACAAGGACGGACAGAUAUCGAGCAGAGACCAAUGGAUCACACGAUGAUCAAUCACCAUCCUCGCUAAGCUUCCUGAUCCUCCUCGUCGCCGACCGCUUGCAACAGCA